CCCAGUAGAAUAGUGUAUACAGUGGCAUGGAACUCGUCUCAAUAUCCUUGUCAUGACUUUUUAAGAACAGUGAAUUUCGAAACUCUGAACAUAUGUAUAAAAUUAUUUGUGAACAGUGUUAUUCCAUCGUUCUCAGAUCUCGAUAAUGGAGUAUGCUCGAGUAGAGGUUUUAAACUCAGGUGAAUUCGCGACUAUCCCUACGAGCAUUAUUAAGAAUUUUUCGACUUCAUUCGAUCCACAACAGUGCUAUAUUGCUGAACGAAGUGGAAAAUAUGAUGCUAUCAAGAUUUUAUUUGUAAAAGCGACUGUAGAAGAAAUUGACAACGAAAUGGAAGAACGUGCAAAUGUGUGCAUUGCUUCGUCAUCCACGAAAAAGUCGCCGGAGCCAAAGACGUCGAUCCAUUAUGUCGGGAACUCUCUAACCGUGGGGCAGUGACAGUCAUGCCAGGAUGCAUUAUCCAUAAUAAUCGAUGGAUAGACUGUUACAGAAAUCUUUGCUUAUUAUCUCCGGAAUUAUCUUGUGUGGAGUGAUUCUCAAAUCAAAAAGGAACUUGUGAAUGUGGAAGACUAUCUUCAUGAGAAACCCAGGAAAAAGGAGCGCCUUCCAAGAAAAAAAAAAAAGAUUGUCCACCAAGAAAUAAUUCACAGAAAAGGAAAACGGAAACAAAAAAAAACGGAAGAAGCCCACCACUAAGAAGAAUAUGCCGACGAAAAGAUCACGUAAAGUAUCAUCAUCAGAAUCGAGUUCAGAUACUCCAAGCUCAUCAUCCUCCGCAUCAAGCAGUGGAUCCGAUUACACCUCUAGCGAAUAAAAUUUUCUGACGAGGCUUCAUCGCCAAAAUCAUGAUUAUAUUUCUUUUAAUGCUUCCUAUUUUUAACACUAUCCGCAAUGACCAUACGCAUAUUAGUAUAUGCACUAUUACUGAUAGUAAUUGAGGAAACAUUCUUGAACGUGACAACGGUUGACAAAAAAAAGAUAGGGACUACCUUGCGGAUGGCGCAGUCGGACUUCGUGAUCGGCGUUGGUCCUCUAGCUCUAUAAUUUACGACUUGUACUUAUCAAUAUCCAUUAGCUAAUUGAAAUGACGACCAAAUGAGAAAUCUUUAGAAUUCAAUUAGUCGUGAAAAACCAAGUCAUCAUCCGAAUAUUAUAAUAUGUACUAUCCAAAUCAUAUAAUAGUUUUUAUUUUCUAACUACUGGCAAAUAAAGAUAAUG